rnacentral:rRNA from 1 species
UAAUACCCGAUGUGCCGAGAGGUGAAACAUUUAUGGCCUGAGGAUGAGCUCGCGUCUGAUUAGCUAGUUGGUGGGGUAAGAGCCUACCAAGGCGACGAUCAGUAGCUGGUCUGAGAGGAUGAUCAGCCACACUGGGACUGAGACACGGCCCAGACUCCUACGGGAGGCAGCAGUGGGGAAUUUUCCGCAAUGGGCGAAAGCCUGACGGAGCAAGACCGCGUGCGGGAGGACGGCCUAUUGGUUGUAAACCUCUUUUGAUAGGGAAGAAACUCUGACGGUACCUAUCGAAUCAGCAUCGGCUAACUCCGUGCCAGCAGCCGCGGUAAUACGGAGGAUGCAAGCGUUAUCCGGAAUUAUUGGGCGUAAAGCGUCCGUAGGUGGUUGUUCAAGUCUGCUGUUAAAGCGUGCGGCUUAACCGCAUACCAGCAGUGGAAACUGGACGACUAGAGUGCGGUAGGGGUCAGGGGAAUUCCCAGUGUAGCGGUGAAAUGCGUAGAUAUUGGGAAGAACACCGGUGGCGAAAGCGCCUGACUGGACCUGCACUGACACUGAGGGACGAAAGCUAGGGGAGCGAAAGGGAUUAGAUACCCCAGUAGUCC